AUGCUCGUUUCUAGAAGAAAGACGCUAGGGCAACCAACCAUGGAUUUUAAUCUUUUUCGGUUUUCAAUUCGAGUUUUGGCAUUACGGUACUGGUUAGGUUUUGGUUUUAAGCUUAUGUUAAUAAGCGCGUUUCGCACUGCCCAGCUUGCUUCAGAAUUGUGUUCAUGCUUUGGUAAGCUAUUCGAUUCGAGUUUGGAUUCAGAAUUUGUUCAGGUAGCAGGAUUUGGACUAGUUUAUGUGCUGGUCCAUUUAGUGGUCCAACAGCUGGUUGGUUUGGUGGUCGGGUCUGCUUUUGGGCAUGACUGGACAUGA